CUACAUGAGGUAUACAGCUAAAACACUCAACAGAAAAGACUGUGUUAUCUGUGGGCAUGCUAGACCUGUUCUGGCAACACACCCUUUUGCUCUAGGCAGCGGGGAAGGUUGGAUGUGCAUAUUGGAAAGAUUUUAUCAUGUCAACUCUACCCUGUGUAAAGCUCUGAGCCUUAUCUUCCCAGAGGUUCCUCCCCAAAAGGCCCCAUGGGGCGUCAGGGCAUAUGGAGGGAAUUACAGCUGUAUCACUGGUACAGGUAGGGGGAUGGACUAUGGUCAAUUGCCCGAGGCGGAUUGUAUCAGUAAAGUCACCAUUAAUGCUACCUGGCCAGUAGAUGUGCUAAACCAAAUGAGAGGUGUUGCUGACGUAUGGUGGAUAUGUGGCCCCAACCCGGCGGUUGACACCUAUUCUUAAAGGUGAAUGGCAAGGUACAUGUGCCCUGGCUAGUCUUAUAAUACCAUUAACCAUUAUUGAAGUUACAGCUAACCAACUCCUGGGAUCCGCUCAUGACACAGAUGCUCGUGACCAACCCAGUAGGAGACAGAAACGUGAUGCUCCUUGGUCCGAUGGGACAGAUAACAUCCACACCGACCUGUUGGGGGUCCCAAUAGUGGUCCCUCACGAAUUCCAGGCACUAAACCGGAAUGAUGGCCUGUGGUACUUAUUGCCCAUUAUUAGCACAGCCAUUGUUGAUGCUAAACAAACUGCCUGGAUCAAUUAUAUCUAUUACAAUCAGCAACGUUUUGUUAAUUACACUUACACUGCACUUACAAGUAUGGCUGAACAAUUAGAGGUUACCUCUCGGACCGCUAGGCAGAAUAGGCUUGCACUAGAUAUGAUCCUGGCCAAUCAAGGAGGGGUCUGUAAAAUGUUUGGUGAGCAAUGCUGUACAUUCAUCCCUAACAAUACUAGCCCAGAUGGAAGCAUUUCAAAAGCUUUAAGUGGCCUUGACAAACUCUCGGUGGAAAUGAAAGGUUUUGCUGGAGUGGAGGAGAGUGGACUGUUCUCCUGGUUGGGUGGCUGGUUCGGUAAGUACACUGCAUUGAUGGUUACUGGAUUUCUGACCCUCAUUGUUGUAUUCCUUAUGUUGAUGUGCUGUGCCGCUUGCAUCAUACCUUGUUUGAAGAAAUCUGUUACAGAUGUGGCGCAGGCUUCAGGUAUGAUGCCAUUGCUUGAGACUCCGGAAGGAGACGCUGACAUUGAGUCUAACUUCCAGAGAAAAAUGGGGCUGACUGAGGAUGAUCCUUGGUUCGCUGUGGGUUUAAAGUUCCUGGGUGGCGAGGAGCCGUCCUGGUACAAGAUAUGUGUAGCAGGGAGGACCAGAUGGUUUUAAUGUUUUCUACAAAUAUACUCUGUGUGUUUUCUAAUAUCAAUAAUGUUGUUUUUGGUGAGUGACACCCUUGCGGGUGUCAAAAGGGGGAAUCAUAAAAACACCAAUAAAAAAGAGCUGUGUUCUGAAUAACUCA